AAGUUUUCUUUAGCGUAUGGGUUGGAGCAGUAAGUUUACGUCAUCAUUUCGACACGGCGGUAAAAACAAAUCAAAGGGCGGCGACAGAAGCGAACUAAUGUUGUUUUUCUGCUCUUUUUUGUGCGUUUGAAGCGCUGCUUUCCUUUUGCUUACAGCAGUUCACCAUGAUUUCCACUGGAGAUGUGCAGAGUGGUCUUCGUAAACUGGAAAGCCUUUUACGAGUGAUCAAAUACCCAGAGGAUGUCGAUUAUAACAAGCUUUCCAAAGGAGAUCCUUCAGCUUUUUUGCCAAUCGCGAGCUUCACCCUCACCACCUUCUCUCCACCUUUUGCUGAGCUGCUCAUGACAGCUGGAUUUGAACUGAUUGGGAAAACAGACCUCCGUUUCACAGAUACUCUUUACAAGUUGCUCCGGGAUGUUUUCCACUACAAGCCCGUACUCUCCAAACAGCAGUUCUUCCAGUUGGGUUUUUCUCAAAGGAAAAUUUCUUUCAUUUGUGACAUCAUUAACUUGGUGCUGCAAAAACACGGCCAAUUAAAAAAGCCCAAAGUCAGACGCCCUGUCUCACACAGUGAUGUUGGAGUGGAAGGUCAUACAGUAAACCCUGAUCCUCCCAGUAUCUUCAGGGAGCCGUUUAUUGUAAAUCUGGCUAAAACUCCGUCCUCUAUCACUGCAAUCGCCUCCAGUGCAGAAGAGUUUCCGUCCUGUCCUCCUCAUGCUGACGUGGAUUCCUUCAUUUCUUCUACAAAUGAGAUCACAAAUGUACCAAUAGCAGAGGAGCCCAGUGAUGGCACUGUUUGUUUAUCGGGGAUGGAGAGCAGACUCUCAGCGUUGGAGGUUCAAGUGAAUCAGAUUUUAUCUCGGUUCAACAAGCUGGACAUUCUGGAGAAACGUCUGGAGGAACUUGAAAACUGGAAAAGCACCGACAAGUUUGGGCCAUCUUGCACAUGGCUGAAUUACAGGGGGACAAAGAAGUUAUCACAAUACCUCGAGAGAGCUGGGAAAACCUGAUGGGCAGAGUUCUUCUACUGGAAACCAAACUAGACUUGAAAAAUCCAGAAUUUUGGGAGGAAGACCUGAAGGGCAUGCUGGGUAGGAUAACAAACAUGUAUGUCACGUUAUUGUUCAGUUAUAGACGGCACUCCUGAAUUGAUUUCACUUUGCAGUUGCUCUUUACUCACUGCUCUUUCAUACGGAUGGUGAUGUCUCAGAAGUGGAUGCAUUUUCUGUACAGAAACCUGAUGUUUUUGUGUGACGUUUGCAGGAUGAAGAGCACCUCUGGUCUGUUGAGACAGAAUGAAUCUUCUGACACAGCACUUUUUUAAUAUAUCUAUUAUUGGCUGUUAUACCAGAUUUUUGUUUGUCUUUCUUGUAUUCUUAUAAUAAACAAACUUAAAAUUUGUAUAACGUUGUUGUAAAAUUAUUGCAUUAAAAUUAAUAUUAAAUUCUUCAAGAUACUUUAAGUUGAUUUCAUUAUCAAACUUGGCCUAAACCCAGAAAAAAACUUCAAAUUCUCAAACCUACUACAUACUUCUUCAGAUUGUCACCAGGCUUGUCUCUGUCAUUCUCAGGGAUUGUGUUCCUAUAAAGAGCAGCCAAAAAAAGUCAAAAGGUUUUGUGUAUUUAAUGGACCAAAACAAUAUGAGUAUCUAUGCUGUUUUCUGAUUACAGCAGACAUUGUAAUCUUCCCUCCGUGAAGGCCUGGCACAUCAUUGGUGGCUCUCUCUCUCUCUGUAAUGCAAUUACUUCCACACUGUCUGCCUUUUCCCAUCUUGAAUUAUUUCAAUAAUGGAUGUGAAAAAUGUUUGACAUGUCCAACAGGUUUGUGUGCAAUGACGCACAAUAAAGUGAAGAUUACUACCGGUAGUUGUAUUAACAACAGUUAAUGUUGACAGACAUGAUAUAAGCCCGUCAAAGUGAUUGUUUUGCAGAGAUUUCUACUUGUUCACUUGCAACAUGUCCAAAAGCAUUCGCCAUUAGAAGAAAUAAACAUGAAACGGCCACUAGGUUGCGCCCAAAUGUCUAAAGACUGUGGAGGUUACAUUAACUGUUGGGCAAAGUUUGAUUCUGUUGGGAAUUCUGUUGAAAUACACCAAAGCAACGGAGAAGGACUGUAAAUUAGAAGAAUGUGUACCAACACGUUGGGGUUAUUAAUUGUAAUUACAUAUAUGAUCAUUAAAGGCCAAACUUUAAAAAA